rnacentral:rRNA from 1 species
UACGUAGGGGGCAAGCGUUGUCCGGAAUCAUUGGGCGUAAAGCGCGUUUAGGCGGUCCGGUAAGUCGGCUGUGAAAGUCCAGGGCUCAACCCUGGGAUGCCGGUCGAUACUGCCGGACUAGAGUUCGGAAGAGGCGAGUGGAAUUCCCGGUGUAGCGGUGAAAUGCGCAGAUAUCGGGAGGAACACCAAUGGCGAAGGCAGCUCGCUGGGACGUUACUGACGCUGAGACGCGAAAGCGUGGGGAGCAAACAGG